GACGGAGGAUGCAAGUGUUAUCCGGAAUCACUGGGCGUAAAGCGUCUGUAGGUGGUUUAAUAAGUCAACUGUUAAAUCUUGAGGCUCAACCUCAAAAUCGCAGUCGAAACUAUUAGGCUAGAGUAUAGUAGGGGUAAAGGGAAUUUCCAGUGGAGCGGUGAAAUGCGUAGAGAUUGGAAAGAACACCGAUGGCGAAGGCACUUUACUGGGCUAUUACUAACACUCAGAGGCGAAAGCUAGGGUAGCAAAUGGG
rnacentral:rRNA from 1 species